CCAGGGCAGCUCAGGUGCAAACUAUGCACCUGAUCAGUGGAUUCAAGACCCACCCCUUCCCAGACCUCAUUUAAGAGUUGGCAGUGGAGGUGAGAAUGUUGUGCUGGAAAUCCCUGUCUACCUGAGUCCUUCCAAGGUUCUGGAAGAAAUUUACAGGAUGGAACUUACAGGAUGGACAAAGAACCUUGUUGACCCUGCAGGUGGUUAAGAUCGGUACAGAUGGAGCCCAGAAUCACUCAUAACAUGGUCUGUCACAGUUUGGUCCCCUCCAUGUCCCCAUACUGUCUGCUGCAGUACAAGAAGCAGAGAACCAGCAGAUUUUCCACAGUCCCUUUUUUCUUGCCUAGUAAAAAUUGUAUACAUCAGUGGCAGCUGGAGGGAAUGCAACUUCAGGUCUGAAAAUACCUCAGUCCAUCAACAAGGAGGUGUGGCAGCUGGUUGCUCCUGUUGUACGGGAAGGAAACUGCAGCCUUCACUUUGAGCCAUGAGAAGCAAGUCAAGAAGGGGACACUCAUGCUUACAUCGUGAACACAAUGGGGCCAAGAUCCAGAGGAAAAUUAGAUCUACCGUAUCCCAUUGAUGAGCUAUGUGUGCAGCUACCAGGAGUGUUGCACAAGGCAGCUGAAGGAUACUGAAUCAACAGUUAAUUGGCUGCCUGGCUUCUCUUGAGCUAGCAGCAGGGUCUAAAGAAAAGCACUUGGAAGAGCUCAGAAAUAUUAUUGUGAAGGACAGUAUCGUGUGCAGUAGUCCUCUUACCCAGAGAAAAACAGCAACAAACCCAAACCUUUAGAAAUGCAAGUCAUUUUUCUUUAGAAGACUGCAGGAAAAGCAGUGCUUUUUAGAGGAAACAUGAGAAAGGAAGCUGAUAAAAUUCAUACUAUGCCCCAUUCUCAUGACACAUCAUACAAGAAACACAAAGAGAAGUUGAACAUCUUGCACAACAACCAUGCUAUCUUUCAUUACAUCCUGUACAAAAUAUAGCUAAAUGUACUCAGUAAAAAAGGUAGUUAAACAGUUUUGUUAUGAAAAUGUUAUUAGUGCUUUGACUUGUAUGUAGAUAGGGAAAGGAAGUUGUGACUUCUGGGUGGAAUACCUACCUCGACUCACAGAAUAAUUGGGGUUGAAAGAGACCUCUGGAAAUCGUCCUGGCCAGCCUCCUCCCAAUGCAUGUUCCCUAGGGUAGGUUGCACAGGAAAAUAUUUUAGGUCCUGAAUAUCUGCAGCGGAGACUCCACAAACUCUCUAGGCAACUUACUCCAGUAAUCUGUCACCCUCAGAGUAAAAGAGUUUUUUCUCAUGUUCAUGGCUUGUUAUUUGUGUUUCAGUUUGUGCCCAUUGCCCCUUGAUCUCCUGUGGGCCACCACUGAAAAGAAUCUGUGGCUCCAGCCUUGCAGUUAUUUGCAGGUAUUGAUGAUAAGAUUCCCCUCAGUCUUCUCUUGUCCAGGCUGAAUAACCCCAGGGCUCUCCAUCUUUCCUCAUGCAGGAGCUGCUGCAGGAUUAAGUCAAUCCUCUGGA